rnacentral:rRNA from 1 species
UACCAGCACCCCGAGUGGUCGGGACGAUUAUUGGGCCUAAAGCAUCCGUAGCCGGUUCUGCAAGUCCCCCGUUAAAUCCAGCUGCUCAACAGAUGGGCCGCGGAGGAUACUACAGAGCUAGGAGGCAGGAGAGGCAAGCGGUACUCAGUGGGUAAGGGUAAAAUCCGUUGAUCCAUUGAAGACCACCAGUGGCGAAGGCGGCUUGCCAGAAUGCGCUCGACGGUGAGGGAUGAAAGCUGGGGGGAGCAAACCGG